AUCAAAUGAAGACCUCCUAACUUUAUUUGAUGAAAUCCUAAAACUUUUUCAUAAUAAUCUCCCUAUAAGGGUCACCAAAGAGGUGGCCUUUUU
rnacentral:sRNA from 20 species